UACGUAGGGACCAAGCGUUGUUCGGAUUUACUGGGCGUAAAGGGCGCGUAGGCGGCAAUUCAAGUCAUCUGUGAAAUCUCCGGGCUUAACUCGGAACGGUCAGAUGAUACUGCUUUGCUAGAGUGCAGAAGGGGCAAUCGGAAUUCUCGGUGUAGCGGUGAAAUGCGUAGAUAUCGAGAGGAACACCUGAGGUGAAGACGGGUUGCUGGGCUGACACUGACGCUGAGGCGCGAAAGCCAGGGGAGCAAACGGG
rnacentral:rRNA from 1 species